AUUGAACGCUGGCGGCAGGCAUAACACAUGCAAGUCGAGCGAGCGGCGGACGGGUGAGUAAUGUCUGGGAAACUGCCUGAAGGAGGGGGAUAACUACGGGAAACGGUAGCUAAUACCGCAUAACAUAAGAGGUGCCCAGAUGGGAUUAGCUAGUAGUUGGGGUAACGGCUCACCUAGGCGACGAUCCCUAGCUGGUCUGAGAGGAUGACCAGCCACACUGGAACUGAGACACGGUCCAGACUCCUACGGGAGGCAGCAGUGGGGAAUAUUGCACAAUGGGCGCAAGCCUGAUGCAGCCAUGCCGCGUGUGUGAAGAAGGCCUUCGGGUUGUAAAGCACUUUCAGCGGGGAGGCGUUACCCGCAGAAGAAGCACCGGCUAACUCCGUGCCAGCAGCCGCGGUAAUAC
rnacentral:rRNA from 1 species